AGACGACGACGGGUAGCCGGCCUGAGAGGGCGACCGGCCACACUGGGACUGAGACACGGCCCAGACUCCUACGGGAGGCAGCAGUGGGGAAUAUUGCACAAUGGGGGAAACCCUGAUGCAGCGACGCAGCGUGCGGGAUGACGGCCUUCGGGUUGUAAACCGCUUUCAGCAGGGAAGAAGCGCAAGUGACGGUACCUGCAGAAGAAGUACCGGCUAACUACGUGCCAGCAGCCGCGGUAAUACGUAGGGUACGAGCGUUGUCCGGAAUUAUUGGGCGUAAAGAGCUCGUAGGUGGUUGGUCACGUCUGCUGUGGAAACGCAACGCUUAACGUUGCGCGUGCAGUGGGUACGGGCUGACUAGAGUGCAGUAGGGGAGUCUGGAAUUCCUGGUGUAGCGGUGAAAUGCGCAGAUAUCAGGAGGAACACCGGUGGCGAAGGCGGGACUCUGGGCUGUAACUGACACUGAGGAGCGAAAGCAUGGGGAGCGAACAGGAUUAGAUACCCUGGUAGUCCAUGCCGUAAACGUUGGGCACUAGGUGUGGGGGGCAUUCCACGUUCUCCGCGCCGUAGCUAACGCAUUAAGUGCCCCGCCUGGGGGAGUACGG
rnacentral:rRNA from 1 species